rnacentral:rRNA from 1 species
UUUGAUCCUGGCUCAGAUUGAACGCUGGCGGCAGGCCUAACACAUGCAAGUCGAGCGGCAGCACGGGAAGCUUGCUUCCUGGUGGCGAGCGGCGGACGGGUGAGUAAUGCAUAGGAAUCUGCCCGGUAGUGGGGGAUAACCUGGGGAAACCCAGGCUAAUACCGCAUACGUCCUACGGGAGAAAGCAGGGGACCUUCGGGCCUUGCGCUAUCGGAUGAGCCUAUGUCGGAUUAGCUGGUUGGUGAGGUAAUGGCUCACCAAGGCGACGAUCCGUAGCUGGUCUGAGAGGAUGAUCAGCCACAUCGGGACUGAGACACGGCCCGAACUCCUACGGGAGGCAGCAGUGGGGAAUAUUGGACAAUGGGCGCAAGCCUGAUCCAGCCAUGCCGCGUGUGUGAAGAAGGCCCUCGGGUUGUAAAGCACUUUCAGUGGGGAAGAAAGCCUGGUGGUUAAUACCCGUCAGGAAGGACAUCACCCACAGAAGAAGCACCGGCUAACUCCGUGCCAGCAGCCGCGGUAAUACGGAGGGUGCGAGCGUUAAUCGGAAUUACUGGGCGUAAAGCGCGCGUAGGUGGCUUGAUAAGCCGGUUGUGAAAGCCCCGGGCUCAACCUGGGAACGGCAUCCGGAACUGUCAGGCUAGAGUGCAGGAGAGGAAGGUAGAAUUCCCGGUGUAGCGGUGAAAUGCGUAGAGAUCGGGAGGAAUACCAGUGGCGAAGGCGGCCUUCUGGACUGACACUGACACUGAGGUGCGAAAGCGUGGGUAGCAAACAGGAUUAGAUACCCUGGUAGUCCACGCCGUAAACGAUGUCGACUAGCCGUUGGGUCCUUCGCGGACUUUGUGGCGCAGUUAACGCGAUAAGUCGACCGCCUGGGGAGUACG